GACGAACGCUGGCGGCGUGCCUAACACAUGCAAGUCGAGCGGAGAUGUACUGAAGAUUUAUCGGAUGUACAUCUUAGCGGCGGACGGGUGAGUAACGCGUGGGCAACCUGCCUUCCACUGGGGGAUAACACAGGGAAACCUGUGCUAAUACCGCAUGACAUCACAUAGGGCAUCCUGUGUGAUCAAAGGAGUGAUCCGGUGGAAGAUGGGCCCGCGUCCGAUUAGCUAGUUGGUGAGGUAACGGCUCACCAAGGCGACGAUCGGUAGCCGGACUGAGAGGUUGGCCGGCCACAUUGGGACUGAGACACGGCCCAGACUCCUACGGGAGGCAGCAGUCGGGAAUCGUUCCACAAUGGGCGAAAGCCUGAUGGAGCGACGCCGCGUGAGGGAGAAGGUCUUCGGAUCGUAAACCUCUGUCCUCAGGGACGAAAGGGACGGUACCUGAGGAGGAAGCCACGGCUAACUACGUGCCAGCAGCCGCGGUAAGGAGUAGUACC
rnacentral:rRNA from 1 species